rnacentral:ncRNA from 1 species
GGGGAUAUGGCGAAAUUGGUAGACGCUACGGACUUAAUUGGAUUGAGCCUUGGUAUGGAAACCUACCAAGUGAUAACUUUCAAAUUCAGAGAAACCCUGGAAUUAUAAAUGGGCAAUCCUGAGCCAAAUCCUGUUUUCUGAAAGAUUCAGAAAGUGAUAAUAAAAAAGGAUAGGUGCAGAGACUCAAUGGAAGCUGUUCUAACAAAUGGAGUUGGCUGCGAUGCAUUAGUAAAGGAAUCCUUCUAUCGAAACUCCAGAAAGGAUGAAGAAUAAACCUAUAUAUACGUAUACGUACUGAAAUACUAUUAUAUACGUAUACGUACUGAAAUACUAUCUCCAAGCCAAAUGAUUAAUGAUGACCCGAAUCUUUUUUUUUUAUAUAUGUUUAUAUGAAAAAUGAAAGAAUUGCUGUGAAUCGAUUCCAAGUAAAAAAAAUGGAAUAUUCAUUGAUCAAAUCAUUUACUCCAUCGUAAUCUGAUAGAUCUUUUGAAAAAUUGAUUAAUCGGACGAGAAUAAAGAUAGAGUCCCAUUCUACAUGUCAAUAUCGACAACAAUGAAAUUUAUAGUAAGAGGAAAAAUCCGUCGACUUUAGAAAUCGUGAGGGUUCAAGUCCCUCUAUCCCCA